GACGAACGCUGGCGGCGGGCCUAAUACAUGCAAGUCGAACGGAGUGGCGCACGGGUGAGUAAUGUAUAGCUAAUCUGCCCUACACUAGAGGACAACAGUUGGAAACGGCUGCUAAUACUCUAUAGUGUAGGAUGAGGCUAUAUUGUAUCAGCUAGUUGGUGAGGUAAUGGCUCACCAAGGCUAUGACGCAUAACUGGUCUGAGAGGAUGAUCAGUCACCCUGUAACUGAGACACGGUCCAGACUCCUUCUGGAGGCAACAGUAGGGAAUAUUGCUCCAUGGGGGAAACCCUGAACCAGCAUCGCCGCGUGGAGGAUGACACUUUUCGGAGCGUAAACUCCUUUUGUUAGGGAAGCGGUACCUAACGAAUAAGCACCGGCUAACUCCGUGCCAGCAGCCGCGGUAAUUC
rnacentral:rRNA from 1 species